CCUACGGGAGGCUGCAGUGGGGGAUAUUGCACAAUGGGGGGAACCCUGAUGCAGCGACGCCGCGUGGGUGAAGACGCGCCUCGGCGCGUAAAGCCCUGUCAGUAGGGGAGAAAAUGACGGUACCUGAAGCAGAAGGCCCGGCUAACUACGUGCCAGCAGCCGCGGUAAUACGUAGGGGGCAAGCGUUAUCCGGAUUUACUGGGUGUAAAGGGGGCGCAGACGGCGUUGCAAGACAGGAGUGAAAGCCCGGGGCCCAACCCCGGGACUGCUCUUGGAACUGCGUGGCUGGAGUGCAGGAGGGGCAGGCGGAAUUCCUGGUGUAGCGGUGAAAUGCGUAGAUAUCAGGAAGAACACCGGUGGCGAAGGCGGCCUGCUGGACUGCAACUGACGUUGAGGCCCGAAAGCGUGGGGAGCAAACAGGAUUAGAUACCCUAGUAGUC
rnacentral:rRNA from 1 species